rnacentral:rRNA from 1 species
GUGCCAGCAGCCGCGGUAAUACAGAGGGUGCAAGCGUUAAUCGGAAUUACUGGGCGUAAAGCGCGCGUAGGCGGUUGGGUAAGUCGAUUGUGAAAUCCCCGGGCUUAACCUGGGAAUUGCAGUCGAUACUGCUCGGCUAGAGUGUGGAAGAGGGAAGCGGAAUUUCCGGUGUAGCGGUGAAAUGCGUAGAUAUCGGAAGGAACACCAGUGGCGAAGGCGGCUUCCUGGUCCAACACUGACGCUGAGGCGCGAAAGCGUGGGUAGCGAACAGGAUUAGAUACCCGCGUAGUCC